AACCGAAGGAGAUAAAGUAAACUGACUUCUGUACAAACCGGGUGCUUUAUAUCCCAGUGUUUAACCGAAGGAGAUACGGUGGGAGAAAAUGACGACGACCGUCAAGUUCGCAUCGAUGUCGCUAUUUAUUCUGCUAACCCUUCCCCUGGCACGUGUGGAAUCAACAACUACAGCAGUCGAGGAAUCAACCACAACUACAACUGCGGACCUAACAACUACAACAACAGUGCUACCAACUACAGCAGCCUACCUAUCAACUACGGCAGCGGAACCAACAACGACCCCACCGCAGGCACCAACAACGACCACACUGGAAGCACUAACGACGACCCCGCCGGAGGGGACUGUAAAGAGGGCUCCAACAACGACCCCAGGGCAGGCACUAACAACGACUCCAACGGAGCCACCACCAACGACCCCAACAGAGGCACCAACAACGACCCCAACGGAGAGGACUGUGGAGCGGGCUCCAACACCUGCAUCACGGACUCAAACAACUAUCAACAGUCCAUUGUAUACUACAGUCACUAGAGGUAGGCCGCACAGUCUAGAACAUUGUCGAUGAAAAUUUUUUUGUGAUUAUGUUUGUUGCUUUAUUCAUGUUUCAUGCUAUAUUUUGUUAUCAGGGGGCCUAUAGGGUAUAGUGGUGAGCGUGCUAGUACAGCUCAAUAGCACAAGGCCCUCUCGCCAAGUUUGUUGCCGUGAGUUAAAGUCCAGCUCAAUCUGGCUUCUUCUCAGGUCGUUUGUGGGAAGGUCUUUCAGCAACCUGCGGAUGGUUACGGGUUUCCCCUGUGGUCUACCUGGUUUCCUACCACCAUAAUGAUGACCACCG